rnacentral:rRNA from 1 species
CCGCAGGCUAACUCUGUGCCAGCAGCCGCGGUAAUACAGAGGGUGCGAGCGUUAAUCGGAUUUACUGGGCGUAAAGCGUGCGUAGGCGGCUUUUUAAGUCGGAUGUGAAAUCCCCGAGCUUAACUUGGGAAUUGCAUUCGAUACUGGGAAGCUAGAGUAUGGGAGAGGAUGGUAGAAUUCCAAGUGUAGCGGUGAAAUGCGUAGAGAUCUGGAGGAAUACCGAUGGCGAAGGCAGCCAUCUGGCCUAAUACUGACGCUGAGGUACGAAAGCAUGGGGAGCAAACAGGAUUAGAUACCCUGGUAGUCCAUGCCGUAAACGAUGUCUACUAGCCGUUGGGGCCUUUGAGGCUUUAAUGGCGCAGCUAACGCGAUAAGUAGACCGCCUGGGGAGUACGGUCGCAAGACUAAAACUCAAAUGAAUUGACGGGGGCCCGCACAAGCGGUGGAGCAUGUGGUUUAAUUCGAUGCAACGCGAAGAACCUUACCUGGCCUUGACAUACUAGAAACUUUCCAGAGAUGGAUUGGUGCCUUCGGGAAUCUAGAUACAGGUGCUGCAUGGCUGUCGUCAGCUCGUGUCGUGAGAUGUCGGGUUAAGUUCCG